UCCUGCAGGAGAACCUAAUACACAGCAAGAAAUGUCUGCUGUUCUGUGGUUCCAUAAUAAGAUUGUGAGAUCAGCAUUUUGAAUUGAGUGUGUGCUUGAAAGAUGAUACAGCUUGAUUCUUUACAGUGAGACAAGGGGAAAGUUCUGGCUAUCAUGUUGUCCUCCUCUCUACACUGGACAUGAACUGGAUGCAUCCUGGCAGGGUUGAGCUUGUAACACAAUUAGUACGAGGUGAGCAGGGGAGCCAGAGUCAGGCAUGCUAGACAAGGCCUGGCAAACAGAGACCUUCGAAACCUGGCUGCCAUUUUGAAGCCUGCAGGUUCCCAUGGUGCUGACUGUAGUGUAACUAAACUUGGACAUGGAUGCACCAGUUGCCAUAACAUCCUCCUCGUUGUCCCGUAGCCCACGGUGACGGCGAUGGCAAGGUGCAGCACAGCACGAGAACGUGGCAAGCAGAGCUUUGCGGAAACGUGUGUUCAUAAAGCAAUAAAUAAUUGGGUUGACGCAA